rnacentral:rRNA from 1 species
AACGAACGCUGGCGGCAUGCCUAACACAUGCAAGUCGAACGAUACCUUCGGGUCUAGUGGCGCACGGGUGCGUAACGCGUGGGAACCUGCCCUUAGGUUCGGAAUAACUCCCCGAAAGGGGUGCUAAUACCGGAUAAUGUCUUCGGACCAAAGAUUUAUCGCCUUUGGAUGGGCCCGCGUUGGAUUAGCUAGUUGGUAGGGUAAAAGCCUACCAAGGCGACGAUCCAUAGCUGGUCUGAGAGGAUGAUCAGCCACACUGGGACUGAGACACGGCCCAGACUCCUACGGGAGGCAGCAGUGGGGAAUAUUGGACAAUGGGCGAAAGCCUGAGCCAGCAAUGCCGCGUGAGUGAUGAAGGCCUUAGGGUUGUAAAGCUCUUUUACCCGGGAUGAUAAUGACAGUACCGGGAGAAUAAGCUCCGGCUAACUCCGUG